AUGGUUAUUUCUGUUGUUGUGGGACGUUUCUUUCUUCACCCUCCUCCAGAUCCUGCUCAGAUCCUCCCUGUAAUCUUGCCAUCUCUCUUUGCGACAUCGUUGCUCAGCCCCACCCUGAAUGACGCACUGCCAUUUCUUAGCUCAUUAUAUUGUGUGGCUACAAGUUCUACUGCAUGGAAAGAAACAGCAGAGAAAAAUAACAAAGCUGGUCCGGCCACAAAGUGCAGGAUGGAGAAAAACAACAGAAAAGAAAAUGCGACCCUCAGUCAUGUUUGUCAAUGGAGUCAAAGGAGCACCAAGAAAGAAGUGACCCUAACUUUUCACUAGAUGAUUGUGAUAAACUUAGCAUUUUACGUGGGUGUGAUGAACUUGGUAUUUAUGCCUCACCUAAACCUUUGAAGAAGAGGUACCAAACCAUCUGCACUCUGUUUGUUUUGCCUUCACUUUUGCUUUUUUUAAGCUGUGUUAAAUUACCUCCAUGAGAAAAAGCUUUAGCCCAACCAGUCUCAUGACUGAAUGAGUUUGACCAGUUACUGUACUGGAGAGGAUACUUUAGGCUGUGCUGCAAGCUUAUUUCUUCUUAGCUUAAUUGAAAGGAUUAAUUUUGAUGAAAUCAGUGAGUAAAUUUAAUUAGUCCAGGUCUGGUGACCUAACAUCUAGUUAAGUUACCAUCUAGCUAGCCCUGCUGGUGGACUGUGUAUAACGAUAACAUUUAUAUGUUUUAUCACAAGUGUUGAUAGAAAACUGCCCUCCAUCAACACUCACACAUACAAAAAACUUUGUGUUAUCAGUCCAUCUUUUCUUAUAGCUUGGCAAGAAAGGCAAAGGGAGGGAGAGGGAGUGUCAUUAUUGGGAGGAGCACAGGCAUUCUGGUGAUGGCGAUCUAGAUAGUAAGACAUGUAGGUACUAGAAAAGUUCCAGGCAGUUCUUGUAGGACUAGACCAGGACUUUAAAAAUCUGAGUUCCCAGCAUAAUCUUCUUGCAUUUAGGACAAGUCACUGUCUGGAUGACCGUCAUAAAUAUUUAUUAGCCCCAUGAAUUGAGUUAUCUUCCAAUCCUUUUCUUUCUGAUAUCGUAUAAAGUCCAUUUGAGUCUUGGUCCAAAACAGGAGCCAUAAAUCUACAGAAGCUAAUUACAGUCUAAUAUGUUGACUCAGCUGUUGGCUGUAGGAAAGAAGCAAGUGGUAACAGAAGAAAGAAAAUCAGUUCAUGUUGGAAAGGGACGGGAGGAGAAAAGAUGGUGGUGUAUCUUGUCUUUCCUACUGUUAGCUCUAUGAGGAUCUUGCUCAGCAGAGCAAAGCUGGAAGUAUGACACUGUAGUCAUGACAGAAAAAAAUGUAAUCAGGAAGCAAAAGGAUGAUUGUCUAGAGAUCAGAGGGUGUCACUUGGGAGGCCACCAUCUGGGCUUCACUUUUCAGCUCUGCCAAAGAACUGUCAUACAACUUCAGCUAAAGCCUUUAACAAAGUAAGGGUUGGUCUGUGUGCAGACUUGUGCUGACGUCAGCAUAUCAAGCCUACAACACGCCUUCCAUUGUUCCAGGGGAAUUGGUGGACACUCAUUUUGUAGUGCCCCGCUUCAGUUAGAGAGGUAGAAUGAACUUGGUGGUAGGAGCUAGAAUGGUUUGUGGAAAGUGAAAAAUGCAUCUUUGUACUAUAUGUUUGAUUGAAAACUGUGAAUGAAAAUUUCUGUUCUUAAUUCUUUUAAUCUCUGCACGGAACAAACCUCUAUGGCUACCACCUGUAUAUAAAAAAUUCAUCGAAACUCUCACACCCUCUGAAGGAUGCCACAGGUCUUGCUUAAUACGUGCAACAUAAUUUGAGGAAGAAGCUACAGAAGCACAAAGUGGUGCUAUGCAUUUAAAUAAUGAGGAUUACAUAAAACUGUUAUUUGCUCAUUAAAACACAAAAACCCAAAGCAAGUAAAAUAUUAUCAGGCAGUGUUGAUUGAAGGUGUACAAGUUCUUGACUCUUACUGACUUAAACAUGCUUUGCUGCAGCCUUUGGUAUUAGCCUGUCUUGCUUAUCUGUUAUUUGAUGUAUUUUACUGGUUUGCUCAUGUGCAUCAGGUCUGAUUAACAGCACUGUCACACGUAUAUUCAGUUCCUGAUCAGCAAAGCCACAGGUGCAGGAUUAGCAGCUACACAGCAAGAAAUAGUUUUUGACUUGAGCUGAGAAUUGCUCAUUACCUGAAGGGGUCUGAGUAAUACGUGGGGUUUAAAGGUCUAUGAUAGCAUAAAUCAGUGCAUAAACUGGCUAUGACUGUGGUAAAUGUGGAUGCAGAACAUGUGAAGAAAUAGCAGAGAAAAUGAAUUUGACUGGAUUUGUCUUUUUCUCCUUCCUGUUCUGUAGAACUAACUGCAUAACACUUUCAGUAGCUAAAGAGAAGUCUGUGGGGAUUUAAAACACUCACUGAGACUAGAAGACUGAGUGAAGUAGAUUUUCCCAGUCUAGAAACUCGGAAGUGGACUUUUUUGUGUGUGCUUGAAAAAUAGAAGAGAAUUUUGAAAAAUCAGCAUGGCUACAUCCCCAGGGGAGACUUAAAUAAAGCAUUAAUUAAAGACA
rnacentral:lncRNA from 1 species